rnacentral:lncRNA from 1 species
NNACGAGCUAAACAAGUUCCUGAUCAAAGUUCGCUUCCGUAUGGUCUCCCUGGGAACUAUUAUCCCAUCCCUGGAUCCGGGGGAUUGGUAUGCUGCCCUCGAUAUGAAAGAUGCCUAUUUUCACAUUGCAAUCAAUCCAGCCCACAGGCGAUUCCUGCGCUUCAUGGUCGACCAGCGCCACUUCCAAUUUACGGUCCUGCCCUUCGGCCUGGCGUCAGCACCACGAGUGUUCACGAAAUGCACGUCCGUGGUGGCAGCCUUCCUUCGAAAGAGAAGGAUGCGUGUGUUCCCGUACCUGGACGAUUGGCUACUCGCGGGCAGGUCGGAGGCCGAGGUCCAAUCGCACGUGAAGCUGGCUUUGCAGACGUUCGACAGGCUCGGCCUCCGGGUCAAUGUACCCAAGUCCACGUUAGUCCCCACACAGAGGCUGGACUUCAUAGGUGCAACCCUGGACUCGGUAACCGCGCAAGCGAGCCUACCAGAGGCACGGUUCAUGUCAAUUCACAAAGCCAUAAGUUCGGUCCAAAAGUUCCCCACGACAACGGCAAGGUGUUGCAUGCAGCUUCUGGGACAUAUGGCAGCUUGCACACACGUGGUCAGGCAUGCCCGCCUGAGGCUCCGACCUUUACAGUUGUGGUUCGCCCAUACGCACCGCCCCAACAGAGACCCAUUGGAUCAAGUAGUCACGAUCCCAAACCAGGUGCUCAGCUCGCUACGCUGGUGGCUCGAUCGCCAACAGGUAUGCGAAGGGAUCCCCUUCGCUGCCCCACAGCCCACUCUGACGUUGGUAACAGAUGCAUCGGACCUGGGCUGGGGGGCGCACCUGGGGGAACUGCGGACCCAACGGUCCAGAGAAGACAAGCUGCUUCACAUCAAUCUGAAGGAGCUAAGAGCGGUUCACCUCGCCUGUCAGACCUUCCGCGCCACCAUAAAGGGUCACAGCGUGGCAGUCCUGACGGACAACACUACCGCCAUGUUCUAUAUAAACAAGCAGGGCGGGUCCAGGUCUUCUCCCCUC